GACGUAGGGGGCAAGCGUUGUCCGGAAUCAUUGGGCGUAAAGCGCUCGUAGGCGGACCUUUAAGUCGGUGAAGAAAGACCUGGGCUCAACUCAGGGAACGGCAUCGAUACUAUUGGUCUUGAGGUAAUUAGAGGAUGAUGGAAUUCCUGGUGUAGCGGUGGAAUGCGCAGAUAUCAGGAGGAACACCGAUGGCGAAGGCAGAUCUCUGGGCCGUAACUGACGCUGAGGAGCGAAAGCAUGGGGAGCGAACAGG
rnacentral:rRNA from 1 species